GACCCUCCCAUAACUACCUCUCGAGGGUCGCGGCUG
rnacentral:ncRNA from 1 species